rnacentral:rRNA from 1 species
GGAAUUUUGCGCAAUGGGCGAAAGCCUGACGCAGCAACGCCGCGUGAGUGAUGAAGGCCUUCGGGUCGUAAAGCUCUGUCAGAGGGGAAGAACCACCGGGUGGCUAAUAACCAUCAGGCCUGACGGUAGCCUCAAAGGAAGCACCGGCUAACUCCGUGCCAUCAGCCGCGGUACUACGGAGGGUGCGAGCGUUGUUCGGAAUUAUUGGGCGUAAAGCGCGUGCAGGCGGCCUUUUAAGUCUGAUGUGAAAGCCCCGGGCUCAACCCGGGAAGUGCAUUGGAAACUGGAAGGCUUGAGUACGGGAGAGGGUAGUGGAAUUCCGAGUGUAGGGGUGAAAUCCGUAGAUAUUCGGAGGAACACCGGUGGCGAAGGCGGCUACCUGGACCGAUACUGACGCUGAGACGCGAAAGCGUGGGGAGCAAAC